GGCCCGUUGGUCAAGUGGUUAAGACACCGCCCUUUCACGGCGGUAACACGGGUUCGAACCCCGUACGGGUCA
rnacentral:tRNA from 1 species